rnacentral:rRNA from 1 species
GCAAGUCGAACGGUAACAGGCGGAGCUUGCCCUGCGCUGACGAGUGGCGGACGGGUGAGUAAUGCGUAGGAAUCUGCCCAGUAGCGGGGGACAACGUGUGGAAACGCACGCUAAUACCGCAUACGCCCUACGGGGGAAAGCAGGGGAUCUUCGGACCUUGCGCUAUUGGAUGAGCCUAAGUCGGAUUAGCUAGUUGGUGGGGUAAUGGCCUACCAAGGCGACGAUCUGUAGCUGGUCUGAGAGGACGAUC